AUGGGGUGACUGCGUACCUUUUGUAUAAUGGGUCAGCGACUUAUAUUCUGUAGCAAGGUUAACCGAAUAGGGGAGCCGAAGGGAAACCGAGUCUUAACUGGGCGUUAAGUUGCAGGGUAUAGACCCGAAACCCGGUGAUCUAGCCAUGGGCAGGUUGAAGGUUGGGUAACACUAACUGGAGGACCGAACCGACUAAUGUUGAAAAAUUAGCGGAUGACUUGUGGCUGGGGGUGAAAGGCCAAUCAAACCGGGAGAUAGCUGGUUCUCCCCGAAAGCUAUUUAGGUAGCGCCUCGUGAAUUCAUCUCCGGGGGUAGAGCACUGUUUCGGCAAGGGGGUCAUCCCGACUUACCAACCCGAUGCAAACUGCGAAUACCGGAGAAUGUUAUCACGGGAGACACACGGCGGGUGCUAACGUCCGUCGUGAAGAGGGAAACAACCCAGACCGCCAGCUAAGGUCCCAAAGUCAUGGUUAAGUGGGAAACGAUGUGGGAAGGCCCAGACAGCCAGGAUGUUGGCUUAGAAGCAGCCAUCAUUUAAAGAAAGCGUAAUAGCUCACUGGUCGAGUCGGCCUGCGCGGAAGAUGUAACGGGGCUAAACCAUGCACCGAAGCUGCGGCAGCGACGCUUAUGCGUUGUUGGGUAGGGGAGCGUUCUGUAAGCCUGCGAAGGUGUACUGUGAGGUAUGCUGGAGGUAUCAGAAGUGCGAAUGCUGACAUAAGUAACGAUAAAGCGGGUGAAAAGCCCGCUCGCCGGAAGACCAAGGGUUCCUGUCCAACGUUAAUCGGGGCAGGGUGAGUCGACCCCUAAGGCGAGGCCGAAAGGCGUAGUCGAUGGGAAACAGGUUAAUAUUCCUGUACUUGGUGUUACUGCGAAGGGGGGACGGAGAAGGCUAUGUUGGCCGGGCGACGGUUGUCCCGGUUUAAGCGUGUAGGCUGGUUUUCCAGGCAAAUCCGGAAAAUCAAGGCUGAGGCGUGAUGACGAGGCACUACGGUGCUGAAGCAACAAAUGCCCUGCUUCCAGGAAAAGCCUCUAAGCAUCAGGUAACAUCAAAUCGUACCCCAAACCGACACAGGUGGUCAGGUAGAGAAUACCAAGGCGCUUGAGAGAACUCGGGUGAAGGAACUAGGCAAAAUGGUGCCGUAACUUCGGGAGAAGGCACGCUGAUACGUAGGUGAAGUCCCUUGCGGAUGGAGCUGAAAUCAGUCGAAGAUACCAGCUGGCUGCAACUGUUUAUUAAAAACACAGCACUGUGCAAACACGAAAGUGGACGUAUACGGUGUGACGCCUGCCCGGUGCCGGAAGGUUAAUUGAUGGGGUUAGCGGUAACGCGAAGCUCUUGAUCGAAGCCCCGGUAAACGGCGGCCGUAACUAUAACGGUCCUAAGGUAGCGAAAUUCCUUGUCGGGUAAGUUCCGACCUGCACGAAUGGCGUAAUGAUGGCCAGGCUGUCUCCAC
rnacentral:rRNA from 1 species